UGGGGAAUAUUGGACAAUGGGGGGAACCCUGAUCCAGCCAUGCCGCGUGUGUGAAGAAAGGCCUUUGGUUGUAAAGCACUUAAGCGAGGAGGAGGCUCUUUUGGUUAAUACCCAAGAUGAGUGGACGUUACUCGCAGAAUAAGCACCGGCUAACUCUGUGCCAGCAGCCGCGGUAAUACAGAGGGUGCGAGCGUUAAUCGGAUUUACUGGGCGUAAAGCGUGCGUAGGCGGCUUUUUAAGUCGGAUGUGAAAUCCCCGAGCUUAACUUGGGAAUUGCAUUCGAUACUGGGAAGCUAGAGUAUGGGAGAGGAUGGUAGAAUUCCAGGUGUAGCGGUGAAAUGCGUAGAGAUCUUGGAGGAAUACCGAUGGCGAAGGCAGCCAUCUGGCCUAAUACCGACGCUGAGGUACGAAAAGCAUGGGGAGCAAACA
rnacentral:rRNA from 1 species